ensembl:lncRNA
AAACUCCGUUCCUUCCUCUUUUCUUCAUCCUCUUCCACGCCAUUCAGGGGAAGUGCUGAUUUUGUUUUGCUGGCUGAGAUUGGUGUUGCUGUUACUUUUUUUCUGAGCUCUUUCCAGGAAAGCUGUGCACUUGAAGGACAGACAACACUGCAAAGAUUCCAGGGUGGGCCACAUCUCACCAUACUGCUUUUCAUGGUGUCCCUAUUCCCUGCCUCCUGCAGGUGUGCUCCUGCAGUUAGUGAGCAAGCACCUUAAGAGAUGUGUGGUUCUUCCUUGCACCAUCUCUGUUACUGCAGGAGAAGCUAGCAGCUAUGGCUGUGUUAGCAGCUUCAUCCUCCUGCUAUUGGGACACUUUCUUGGUGUGGUGGUGGUGGCCCUGGAUAUUCUCAUUCUCCAUUCCGGGAGCACCCGGAAGCAUCUCAAUGCAAGAGAAGCAAAAAAUCAGGAGUCAGUGUGACUACUUCAACUUGGGUGCCUUAGCAAACGCCACCAGGAACUUCCCAGCCCAGUUUGGGAGCAUCUUGAGUGCAAAGCCUAAGGCAAAAUUGAAACUGCCAUCACUGUGCUUCAGCAGGUGAGCUGUCACUAUUGGGACAUUUAGCUGACUUGUUCCAUCCCAGCAUCACUGGUCAGAUCUUUCUCCUUGAGUGGUUGCCUCCAGCACAGCCCCUCCAAAUGCAUGUCAUGCUGGAUACCCUUGCUUGUUGAAAAUAGAACAAUGACCUCGAGUUUUCCUGUGAAAGUGUCUUGAGGGAGAACAAAUGGGAAGGACUCAAUUGGGCCAUCUGCUCCCCUCCCAUCCGGCUGUGCUGGGCCAGGCCCUGCGAUAAGGUUGGGUGAGGGCAGUGCGUGCCAGGAGGUUUGGCUGCUGAGAGGUGGGUUGGGGCUUUUCAAAUCCCAUCGGAACACGGACUGGUCUCAGGGUGUAGAAGUCAAUGCAACCUGUGGGCAGCUGCAGCCUUUCCAGCCUGCUGUCCUUGGGCAGCUUGGACUUCUGAAGCCCAUCCUGGCUGGGCUGUAGUGUGGGGCUCAGCAGGCAAGGCCAGGACCUGGAUUCUCCACGGCCAUUCUGAUCUCUGGAGCUGGGCAGAGCGUGCCUGGGAGGAACCCUUGCUCCUGGCUGGGUGUUUGUCUCUGAGGAGCCAGGUGCUUUCCUGCAGACAUCCCUGCUGUGCAGCAGAUACAUGAUACUGAAAGAUCUUCCCAGUUCAGCAGGGCAUGAGCCCAGCAGGACUUGUAGUUUGUGCUGGAGCUGUCAAGUCCUCGUGUUAUAUAUCUGGGCGUAGUGGAUCAUGUUUCUUCCAUGACCUCAGGUGCCCCGGUGUGUUUGCUUGUUUGGAUAGGAGUUAAGGUCAAGAGAAACAGCGGUGCUGUGCUCUUAUUUUGGGUUCAGCUUUGGUUCUGGGGUAAUUGCUGCAUGUCUUCGUGACUGAGGAUGGCCAGCCCUAGGUAGGAGCAUGUCAAACCCAGCCUAGGAGCUGGGUAGACCUGGCUGUGGUGAGGGGAGGAGUUAGCAGAGGCUGUGCUGAGUUACCUCUGCCUCUGUGGCUUUGUUGCCUCUUUUUUGGGAACAGAGAGCAAGACACCAUUAGCAGGGAUGGGAAUUUUCAUGUGCUUGCCCAUCCUGUGGUCCCACUCUGCAUGAUGACCAGGUGCAGCUGUCCCUGCACUGGGCAGAACAGAGAGAGAUGGUGCCCUGGGCUUGUUCUCAGCACUAUAUACCUCUUGGCACACAGGCUGGCCUCACGUGGGCUGGAGCUGCACUCAGCCAGCACCAGGACUCUGCCUUGCCCCUACCAGCCAUUGCAGGGGGCUGAGGUGUCCUCACCAUGCAGAGUCUGAACCCUGGGAUGAUGUACGUGUAAGGACCGCAGGGCCCCACUCUCUGCCCCUGGGCAUGACUUGGCUGGUGCUGAGGAUCAGGUUAGGUCUUGUGUCCAGGUGCAGGCAGCCCGGUUGCUGCAAUGUGCCUGUUCCUGCUCGGAGGGGAAUGUUGCUCACCUGCCUGGGGAGGCACAGGCACUCUCAUGGCUUUGCGCAGCCUGCCAAGCCUUAAUCUCUAUUGUUUGACAGCUGGCGUGCUGCUGACGUCAAUCCCAUGGCUCAGGGGGCUUUUUGGGGAGGAAUGGGCAAGUCUCCGCAUACACGUGCUUGCAGACGUACCAGAAAAACAUAGCACCGAAACCACAAAGGGAGAGGGAGGUGAAGAAGAAGACGGCACAAAGAGGGGAGGGCAGCACGAGGGCUGCUCCUGUACAGCAUGGCCCUGCCCUGCGAGCUGCUGGCUGACUCACAGCCAAGCCUACCCUGCUGGGUGGCAUCCCUGAUGGGGUGGAGAAUGCCACCAUACACCUUCAGCUUGCUGGGAAGUGCUGCUUGGUGCCUUCUGCCCAUGCCAAGGGUCAGCGUGUGUGUCCUGUCAGCAUGUCUUCUGCCUUUCUGGUCCUUUUCCAUCUCUUCCAUCCAGCUGAGGCUGCUGAUACUGGGAGCUGGAUGUUGGGUCAUUGCUGCCCUCCUGUUCUCGUCUGGAGGCCUAGGGCAGAGGUGUGGCUUUGUCCCUUCCUUUAUUAGAUAUCAUUAAAGAAACUGUUCUUCUCACAUGGGGUUGAACCAGCCCUGUACGUCACUGUCCUGCCUCAUGGGACUCUUUCAGGAUGUUCCCUAGAAGCCAUGCCCAGAUCACUGUUGGUGUUGGCCAGUGUGUGCCCUGCUCUACUGCUUUGCUCCCGUAGAAUAAGAUCUGCAAGCCAUGGGAGCACCACCCUGGCCAUCCUGCAGGCUGACCCCUCUUCCAUGCAUCAAAGGAUGAGAACAGUGAUCUGCAUUGCUGGUGCUGCUCCAGAGAAAGCAGAGCAUCCUUUGUGCAGGAGUGGUCCAGCUCCUCUGUGUCCGUCUCUCAAAACUUCACGGUUUGACUUUGGAGCCUGCAAAGGGUUCUCUGGGGGCUCUUGGUAUGGAGAUUGCUGCUUCCAGGCUGAGCCACUGGUGCUUCUUACAGACUUGUGACUUUAAAAACCACAUCCUGAUGGUAAUUGUUCUCCUGAGCUGGAAAUCCUGUCUGCUUUGCUGUGGGACUUCAGCUCCCAAGUGGCUUGCGGUCUUUGGUCAACGCAGUUGAGCUUUCCCGCAAGGGAAAUGACACUUGCCCUCUGCUCAGCAGCAGCCAGCCAGGGGCUGCUCGUGCUGCCGGCCAGAAGGACUCCUCUGACACGAUCCACUCCGCUCCCUGGGUUUGUAUUCUCAGCACAACCAUCUCUAGUGGCCUUCAAUAUUUCUCAUUCAAAAUAAGCAAUCCACGAGGACACGAAGGAGGAGGAAUCUAGGAGCCACCAUAAGUAGCUUUGAAAGGAAUUCUUUCCUUUCCUGGCUCAGCAAGCCACUUGGCUGAACCUGUCCCAAAGCCCAGCCUUUGUCAUACCUAGGAAGUGGAAACCCUUAAAGCCAUUUUGGCUCCAUGGGUAGAGCUGGAGCCCCACAGCUAAGGGGGUCAAAGGGCUAAGAGAAGUGGAAUCACAAAAUGAGUAA